rnacentral:rRNA from 1 species
GACGAACGCUGGCGGCAUGCCUAACACAUGCAAGUCGAACGAGAAAGUCACUUCGGUGGUGAUUAAAGUGGCGCACGGGUGAGUAACGCGUAGACAAUCUGCCCUUCAGUCUGGGACAACUUUUCGAAAGGAGAGCUAAUACCGGAUAACAAUGUUUAACAUAAGUUAGAUAUUUGAAAGCUUUAUGUGCUGAGGGAGUGGUCUGCGUCCCAUUAGCUAGUUGGUGAGGUAAAGGCUUACCAAGGCAACGAUGGGUAGCGGGUUUGAGAGGACGAUCCGCCACACUGGAACUGAGACACGGUCCAGACUCCUACGGGAGGCAGCAGUGGGGAAUAUUGCACAAUGGAGGAAACUCUGAUGCAGCAAUGUCGCGUGAGUGAAGAAGGCCCUUGGGUCGUAAAGCUCUUUUAUGGGGGAAGAUAAUG